rnacentral:rRNA from 1 species
GUAGGUGGCAAGCGUUGUCCGGAAUUAUUGGGCGUAAAGCGCGCGCAGGCGGUUCUUUAAGUCUGAUGUGAAAGCCCACGGCUCAACCGUGGAGGGUCAUUGGAAACUGGAGAACUUGAGUACAGAAGAGGAAAGCGGAAUUCCACGUGUAGCGGUGAAAUGCGUAGAGAUGUGGAGGAACACCAGUGGCGAAGGCGGCUUUCUGGUCUGUAACUGACGCUGAGGCGCGAAAGCGGGGGGAGCAAACAGGGAUUAGAUACCCUGGUAGUCCACGCCGUAAACGAUGAGUGCUAAGUGUUAGGGGGGUUUCCGCCCCCUUAGUGCUGCAGCUAACGCAUUAAGCACUCCGCCUGGGGAUACGGCCGCAAGGCUG